GUGCAGUGGUGCAACUUUGGCCUGCUGCAGCUUCAACCUCAUGUGCUCAAGCAAUCCUGCUACCUCAGCCUCCAGAGUAUGGGACUACAGACUGAGUGACAGCAUUGGACAAAGAUGUGUGGAGCAGGAUGGUAGCUGGAGGAGUGCCAGAGAGAGACCCGGGAUCUCACCAAGGUUACAGUGUCUGUGGCUUUGCGAAGAUUCCUCCUAAAAUUCUGCUCAUGGAAGGAUUUCAAAGAAAGACUGAGUGAACUUGUUCCUGAGAAUGCUUGAAGGGACGGGGAAACAUUAAAAAAUAAAGACUGGGUUAUUGGAAAUUGAUGGUGGUGUUGGUGGGGGUUGUUAAGAACUACCGUUAUUUACACACUGAUGAACUUGUGACCUCAUCUAUAUUCACAGGCUGCUGGUCUCUGAGCUAUUGAGUCCACCUACUUAUAGGGAUGUUCUUUAUAUUGGGGUGAAUGUUUUGCUUGUGAUAUAUCACUCUGUAUUAGUUUCCUAUUGCUGAUUUAACAAAUUAGCACAAACUUAGUGACCUCAAACACACACACACAUACACACAAACUCACACACACAUUUAUUAUCUUACAAUUCU
rnacentral:lncRNA from 10 species